GAACCUGGGUGGCAAGGUGGGGAGAUGGGGCAGUGGGGUGUCAGGCGAGGAAACAGGUGACAGAGGCAGAGACGGGGAGCAGCCGGCAGAGAAGAGGUCAGGAAGGGCAUGGAUGUGGUGGGGGGCAGAGGGAGCGGGGAGACAGGCAAGACUACAGUGACCAUAGAGGUACCGUGUCAUGUGGAGUGAGAGGGUGGCAGAUGGGGAGGAAGGGUGACAGGUGGGAGACUGAUUGACAAAGUGGGUGACAGGAGAGGUGACAGCCAGAGAAAGGAAGCUUCGGGAGCAAGGGGUGAGAGGGACUGAAAAAAUAGGAAGAUGAGGCACCACAAGCCAGGGGCAGUCCCGGAGCCCCUUCCCCCUAGACCACCCUUCAGGGUCUGUGUGUGUGAGGCCUGGGUCAACUAGGUGUUAGAAGCCAGUGCGUGCCCCACCCUGAGCUGUCUUCUGUGAUUGCUGGAACAACCUUCAGUCCCUUUUGGGGAUGGGGUCACCUGUACCAGGGCAUGUGAGUUGGCACUGUGCACACGGAGUGUGGGCAUGCGCAGGUGGCCAGGUGGGCUCCCAGCACACAGAUACCCCGUUCCCCCCUUUCCUUCCCGGCUUGGCCUCCCACACACCAGCUGCCCAGAACCAGGCAGUGCAGAGCUGGGCGGGGGUGGGGUGGGGAGGUGCGGGGUAUGGGCCUGACACAGACACUGGGCAGGAGGGGGCAUUGGCAGCAGAUCUCUGGAAGGGGCUUGGGGGCCUGGCUUCUUAGGGAGGAAGGGACCAAGGGAAGCCUGUGGGGCUGAGGGACUGAAGCCAUGCAGUGCACCCUCUCCAAUCGUGUCUAAGCCUCAGGCUCCCUCUGCAGUCACUACCCCUGCAAUCUCCCCCUGCCAUCCCUGCAGUGGAGUGGGGCAGGGAUGAGGACACAGUUCCUAACAUCCCAUGAUUUCCCUGCUGUGGGUGGCAGAGCAGGGGCGGGGUGUCCAGGGAAAUGGGAGCUGCUUGGAAAUGUCCUUUUCUUCUUAUAUUUAUCAAGCCCUAUAAUGUGCCAAGCACAGUACUUUGCAUGCAUUCCCUUACCCAUGCUCAGCCCUGAAAUGUAGGUCCUCUUAUUAUCACUCUCAUCCCCGUUUUAGAGUUAAAGAAAUUGACGGUCCAAGAGGUUGACUGAUCUGUUCAGAGUCACAUGGCUUGUGAGUAGUCAAGCAGGAACAUCCCUCCCAGGACUCACUCACACCUAUUCUCCAACUCUGCCUACCUGCUCAAUUCACCUGAUGCUCUGCCAGUGGAUUGCUGAUGUCUCUACAUUGAUUCAGAUUUGCACCCACAUCUGAAAAUGAUCAGCAGGCAGGGACCCUCUGUCAACACAAGUGGAGAAGGAGAUGAAAGAGCCUUGUCUGACACCCUGGAGACUGGGAAACUACCCAGACUGUGUCCUCUCCCUCUUACUAUCCUUAAGGAAGACAAGGAAGACAAUGACAAAUGGACUUUGCAGCAAAACAACACCAACAGCCAACUUGAUGCUCAAGGGAGAACGCUGUGCCUCUUCCUCAUGGUUUCCAGUGCUCUACACAUUCAGAGAAACUUUUCUGGUAAUCAACUAUAGAAACAAUGAGACUGUGCCCAUGGGCGAGACCCCAUCUCUACAAAAAAUACAAAAAUUAGCCAGGUGUAGUGGUGUGCACCUGGAUUCCCCAGCUACUUGGAAGGCUGAGAUGGGAAGAUCACUGGAGCCCCAGAGGUUGAGACUGCAGUGCACCAUGAUCACGCCACUGUACUUCAGCCUCAGUGACAAAGCGAAAGCCUGUUUCAAAAAAAAAAAAAGAGAGAGAGAAAUGGGCAGGUGACGGUGGUUCACACCUGUAAUCCCUGCACUUUGGAAGGCCGAGGCAGGUGGAUCACUUGAGAUCAGGAGUUCGAGACCAGCCUGGCCAACAUGGUGAAACCCCAUCUCUACUAAAAAUGCAAAAAUGAGCAAGGCAUGGUGGUGGAUGCCUAUAAUCCCAGCUACUCAGAAGGCUGAGGUGGGAGAAUCACUUGAAUCCCAGGAGACGGAGGUUGCAGUGAGCUGAGAUCGCGCCACUGCACUCCAGUUUGGGCAACAGAAUGAGGCUCCAUCUCAAGAAACAGAAAAAGGGAAAUGAUCCCUGAAAGUAUACUCUUUUGUUGGAGUUUUUAUUUGCAUUUUGCUAAUGAUUAGUGAUGUCGAGCACCUUUUCAUGUGCUUAUUGGCUUUUUUUUUUUUUUUUUUUUGGAGCAAUACCCAUUCAAGUCCUUUGUUCAUUUUUGGGUUGCUUGGUUUUUGUCGUUGGUGUUGAGUUUGAGGAGCUGCCUCUAUAUCCUGGAUAUCAAUUCCUUAUCAGAUAUAUAACUUGCAAAUAUUUUCUCCCAUUCUGCCAAUUACCUUUUGAAUUUGUUGAUAUUGUUUUUUUGAUGAACAAAGUUCUUAAGUUUUCAUCAAGGCUGAUUUGUCUAUUUUGUUGUUAUUGUUGCCCCCGUCUUUGGUGUCAGAUCCAAAAAAAUUAUUGCCAAAUCCAAUGUUGGGAAGCUUUUGCCAUAUGUUUUCUUCUAAGAGUUUUAAAAGUUUAGGUCUUACAUUUAGGUCUUUGAUCCAUUUUGAGUUAAUUUUUGUAUAUAGUGUUAGGUAAGGGUCCAACUUUAUUCUCUUACAUGUGGAUAGCUGGUUUUCCCAGCACUACCUGUUUAAAAAACAAAAAUCAAACAAAAACCUGUCCUUUCCCCAUUAAAUGGUCUUGGCAUUCUUUUCAAAAAUCAGGCUGGAGUGCAGUGGCAUGAUCUCGGCUCAUUGCAACCUCCACCUUCCAGAUUCAAGUGAUUCUCCUGCCUCAGCCUCCCAAGUAGCUGAGAUUACAGGUGUGCACCA